rnacentral:rRNA from 1 species
GAUGAACGCUGGCGGCGUGCUUAACACAUGCAAGUCGAACGGAGUGGCGAACGGGGGAGUAACACGUGGGUGACCUGCCCUGCACUUCGGGAUAAGCCUGGGAAACUGGGUCUAAUACCGGAUAGUGUGGGAUGGGCCCGCGGCCUAUGAGCUUGUUGGUGGGGUAAUGGCCUACCAAGGCGGCGACGGGUACCCGGCCUGGGAGGGUGGACGGCCACAUGGGGACUGAGGCAGGGCCCAGACGCCAACAGUGGGCAGCAGUGGGGAAUAGUGUGCAGUGAGGGGGAGCCUGAUGCAACGACGCCGGGUGGGGGAUGACGGCCUUGGGGUUGUAAACGCCUUUCACCAUCGACGCGGUAGAUGGAGAAGAAGCACCGGCUAACUACGUGCCAGCAGCCGCGGUAAUAC